rnacentral:rRNA from 1 species
GACGAACCGUGCGAACGUUGUUCGGAAUUACUGGGCGUAAAGGGCGCGCAGGCGGCUGCUCAAGUCAGGCGUGAAAGGCCUGGGCUCAACCCGGGAAUUGCGCUUGAGACUGGGCUGGCUUGAGUGCGGGAGAGGAUGGUGGAAUUCCCAGUGUAGAGGUGAAAUUCGUAGAUAUUGGGAAGAACACCGGUGGCGAAGGCGGCCAUCUGGACCGCAACUGACGCUGAGGCGCGAA